rnacentral:rRNA from 1 species
CCCUUAGAUGUUCUGGGCCACACGCGCGCUACACUGAUGCAUUCAACGAGCCUAUCCUUGACCGACAGGUCCGGGUAAUCUUUGAAUCUGCAUCGUGACGGGGAUAGAUUAUUGCAAUUAUUAAUCUUCAACGAGGAAUGCCUAGUAGGCGCAAGUCAUCAGCUUGCGUCGAUUACGUCCCUGCCCUUUGUACACACCGCCCGUCGCUCCUACCGAUUGGGUGUGCUGGUGAAAUGUUCGGAUCGGCCGUUUGUCGCGGUUUCCGCGGCUCGUGGCUGAGAAGUUCAUUAAACCCUCCCACCUAGAGGAAGGAGAAGUCGUAACA